GUCGUCAGAUGCCUGCAGGUGGAGGCUAAAUGCUGCGCUGGGCUAGCAGGAGAUGCUGCUCUCCUUGUACUGAAACAGAAAUCCCAACCUUCAGUGAACUUCGCCCGCGGCUUCAGAAGACUGGCUGGGUGCAGAGGAGAUCCAGGGGAGAGGGAAAUUAUUUCCAUUUCAAAAAAGGGAAAGUAAAAAAAAAGCUGUGAGGGUGUGUGUGAUCAUGUGUGUGCAGAUCCAGGUGCGGUCUAAAUCAGUUCCUGUGAAUACACAGUCUGUGUUUCCUGAAAUUGCUUUGUGAUCCUACAGGUCACCAGACUAAAGAGGAUAGGAGGGGGAGAAAGACAAAGAGUAGAAGAGUUAUUUGUCUGCAUGUGUGUGCGAAAGAAAAUGAGACAUUUCAAAAGACAAAGAUGAACAGCAGGAGGGAGAAAAUCAGAAGCUGA